rnacentral:rRNA from 1 species
GGAGUGUAUAGAGUGGCGAACGGGUGAGUAACAGGUGGAUAAUCUGCCUUUUGGUGUGGGAUACCGGCUGGAAACGGCCGCUAAUACCGCAUGUGGUUAAGCUAUCUUAGGCUAGCUUAAAGAAAGGCGCUGCAAGGCGCCGCCAAGAGAUGAGUCCGCCUCCCAUUAGCUAGUUGGUGUGAUAAUAGCGCACCAAGGCAGUGAUGGGUAGCCGAGCUGAGAGGUUGAUCGGCCACACUGGGACUGAGACACGGCCCAGACACCUACGGGUGGCAGCAGUAGGGAAUAUUGGACAAUGGGCGCAAGCCUGAUCCAGCCAUGCCGCGUGAGUGAUGAAGGCCUUCGGGUCGUAAAGCUCUUUUCUGAGGGAAGAACUGUGGGAGAAGGAAAUGUCCCCCAUUUGACGGUACCUCAGGAAUAAGGAACGGCUAACUCCGUGCCAGCAGCCGCGGUAAUACGGAGGUUCCUAGCGUUGUUCGGAAUUACUGGGCGUAAAGGGAGCGCAGGCGGAUUGAUAAGUCUAAAGUGGAAUCCCGGGGCUCAACCUCGGACGUGCUUUGGAUACUGUCAGUCUUGAGUUCGUGAGAGGAAAGCGGAAUUCAGGGUGUAGCGGUGAAAUGCUUAGAUAUCCUGAGGAACACCAGUGGCGAAAGCGGCUUUCUGGCACGAAACUGACGCUGAGGCUCGAAAGCGUGGGUAGC